UACGUAGGCAGCGAGCGUUGUUCGGAAUUACUGGGCGUAAAGAGUGUGUAGGCGGUGCUCUAAGUUCGGUGUGAAAUCUCCUGGCUUAACUGGGAGGGUGCGCCGGAAACUGGGGUGCUCGAGCGUGGGAGAGGAAAGCGGAAUUCCUGGUGUAGCGGUGAAAUGCGUAGAUAUCGGGAGGAACACCUGUGGCGAAAGCGGCUCACUGGACCACAACUGACGCUGAUGCGCGAAAGCUAGGGGAGCAAACAGG
rnacentral:rRNA from 1 species